rnacentral:rRNA from 1 species
UACAGAGGGUGCGAGCGUUAAUCGGAAUUACUGGGCGUAAAGGGUGCGUAGGCGGUCCGCUAAGUUGGAUGUGAAAACUCUGGGCUUAACCCAGAGCCUGCAUUCAAAACUGACGGGCUAGAGUUCUGGAGGGGGUAGCGGAAUUCCUGGUGUAGCGGUGAAAUGCGUAGAUAUCAGGAGGAACACCGGUGGCGAAGGCGGCUACCUGGACAGAAACUGACGCUGAGGCACGAAAGCUAGGGGAGCAAACAGG